rnacentral:rRNA from 1 species
GACAGAGGGGCAAGCGUUGCUCGGAAUCACUGGGCGUAAAGGGCGCGUAGGUGGUUCUGUAUGUCUACCGUGAAAGCGUACGGCUCAACCGUAAUUUUGUCGGUGGAAACUGGCAGGACUUGAGGCUGGGAGGGGCUGGUGGAAUUCCCUGUGUAGACGGUGAAAUGCGUAGAGAGUGGGGAGAACACUCGUGGCGAAGGCGGCCAGCUAGACCAGUUCUGACACUGAGGCGCGACAGCGUGGGGAGCAAACGGG